UCUUCUUUAGCCGUCCGUCCAGUUUAUACGAGGUUACACGGCUACAGAAUCACCGUAUCGGUUCGAUUAUUUGGAAAGGCAUUGGCGAAGAUCUGAAACUUGAAAUAAUGAAGGCGUCAGUUGUCAUUUUGGUGGCUUUGAUUGUACUUGCAAUAACACACGUAUCUACCGGAACUGUGGCGGGGAAAUGUAAAACUGGUGAGUGCGAACACCCGUUCACCAAGAAGUGCUCAAAAGCUGGUAGUAAAUUUGAAAGAGAUGUAGCAGGCGGCACUGUCAAGUUAACGUGUACAUGUAAAAACGGUGGCUGGGCUUGUCAAAGAGCUAUAUAGUUCCUCUGAUUGCUUACAAGGAAAAAUGCCGAUUUAGCUGUAAAUCAGGAUAAUAUACACGUACUGCAAAUUGGGCUAGCACUCAUUUAUCAUGACACGCAUGUGCAAUCUCCUUGCACUU